CUUCAGACUAAGUGCUUCAAUGCUGCGUGUUCAGUGGAGUCCAGGAUUCAGGAGGAGUCAGAUUGUUACAUAAACAUAGUGACUCAGGAGUCAUGCAUUUAAACGAUUCAGGAGGAAUCGGAUUUGCGAGUCAGCAGGCAUCAGUAAGACACGAAUCUGGCUCUGCAGCUCUGUGUCACAUGUCCACUAGGUGAACUGAUGAAUCGGUUCAUGAACCGGUUCACUUUAACGAACCGUCCGAAAUGAACCGAUUCAUCUAAAUGAAUCGAACUUCCCAUCUCUACACAGCAUAAUACAAACACUGUUUCAUUAAAUUUGGCAUAUAACAUUCAAAUAUGCAUACUUUUUCAGGAAGUAUUAGAAUAGCUACACUCACUGCAGCUUUAAUAAAAAGUUUAUAUUCUUAACUGUAGCAAUUCCAAAGACUGCUACAGAACCACCUGAAAUAGCCAGGAUAAACAACCAACUUCUAAAAGCAUUAUUCAAGUGUUUUAUAUCACUCUGUACUAGACUCUAAAAACACCCCAUUUAAUUUAGGGUGACAUGUCAAAUAAAACAUAAAUAUAUAAAAAACAUAUAGAAAACAAUGUAAUAAUAAAAUAUAACUCUAACGAAAAGAAGGGAAGGGAUUCGGGGGAGGGAUAAAUGAUAAAACUCACAACCAUACAUUGAAUUAUCACUCUAUGCAAAAUAUAUGCAAAUUAGUCUAUUUUCCUAGUACACACUUUGGUGAUGAACCUGCUACCAAUAGAUGGAGCUGUGUUACACGUCAUGGAACUUUCAACCAACAGAUGGCGCUAUGGCAUGUCACACAAUGUCCAAUUAUUUAGGAGUCUGCACUGACUAACUAAACGGCAUGCCUGUCAAAAGCACUGAGAUAAGGGGGCAGUCUACAGAGGAUUAGAUACAAG